UUUCCGUAGGUGAACCUGCGGAAGGAUCAUUAAUGUAUAACCGAGGUGCGAGGGUUGUCGCUGACCCAACUGUUCUUGCACGCCCGAGUGUCCUCGCACAUCUCUAUCUCACUCCUCUGUGCACCAACGCGUGGGUCCCCCUUUGGCGUGUUGGGAGGGAGGCUUCCGUUUUCACACAAACUUUGUCUGCAGUGUGGGCUGUAUUCUGUGUUUUUGCGAUCACGCCAUCAAUAAAACUUUCAACAACGGGUAUCUUGGGUCUUGCAUUGACGAAGAACG
rnacentral:misc_RNA from 1 species